rnacentral:rRNA from 1 species
AGGGGCGCAGGGGUGAGUAACGUGUAUACAUCUACCGUUAACUGAGGGAUAGCCCACAGAAAUUUGGAUUAAUACGUCAUAGUGAGGCGUCUCGAAAACGCCGGUGGUUAAAGACGAGUAUGCCUAGUAUUAGCUAGGUGGGAAUGUAAAAGCUUACCUAGGCUACGAUAGUUAGGGGGUCUGAAAGGGUGAUCCCCCACACUGGUACUGAGACACGGACCAGACUCCUACGGGAGGCAGCAGUGAGGAAUAUUGCACAAUGGAGGAAACUCUGAUGCAGCCAUGCCGCGUGCAGGAAGAAUGCCUAUGGGUUGUAAACUGCUUUUAUACAAGAAGAAACCUCGGUACGUGUACCGACUUGACGGUAUUGUAUGAAUAAGCACCGGCUAACUCCGUGCCAGCAGCCGCGGUAAUACGGAGGGUGCAAGCGUUAUCCGGAUUUAUUAGGUUUAAAGGGUCCGCAGGCGGAAUAUUAAGUCAGUGGUGAAAGCCUACAGCUCAACUGUAGAACUGCCAUUGAUACUGAUAUUCUUGAGUAUGGAUGAAGUGGGCGGAAUAUGUCAUGUAGCGGUGAAAUGCAUAGAUAUGACAUGGAACACCAUUUGCGAAGGCAGCUCACUUAAAUCAUACUGACGCCUCAUGACCGACGCGUGGGAAGCGACCAGAUAGAAUACCCUGAUAACUUA